GGCUCUAGAGUUUACACAGCAUGGUGUGGAAAAACAACCAAAAACAACCCCAGAACAUCCAGUGAGACGGCCACAUUGGGUAUCGAUCCUGUAAGCCGAGAAAAGGAAUCCGAGGCUAUCAUGGCCACUGAAUCUGGACAGGUAAAGAUGGGGGAAAGAUCGAGCGAGGUUUUUUAGCUGUUUCGGAAAUACUCAAACCUGCUUUUCGGGCACCAACAACCAACGAUGUUUUUCCUCCAUUCUGUUGUCUGAAGCUCUUGACCUGUAUACUGUAUAUGUAUGACCGCAUAAUUGCAAGAAUGAGGUUAAAGUGAGUGUAGAUAUAAAGAGGAGACAUAUCGGAGGCUUGACACAGAACCACGUGGUUCUCCAUGUUGCACAUUGCCCCAGGCUUGUCAUUAACCUUCUUUGAAAUCAAUAAUCUGGUGUGUUCUCCGGAUAAGUCAUGUGCACAGCUUGCUAAUACUGUUCAGUGAAUGACGCUUCGUUUUGUGUGAGGACACGGAUGCAGAGCCAGACACCAGCCAGUCCAAACCUUGUUCCUUACCCAUGUCAUAUCAGUAGACGCAGAUGCGAGCUGACUUUUCUGGAGCAGAGAGAUAGGAUAGCAGAUGUCAUGGGUUUUUCCUUUACAGCCCAGAAUUCCUCCUUGUGAAUCAUGUAUGCCGAGUCGAGGAAGGCAAGGAAUCACAAUGAUGUCCUGAUAUGAAAGUGUUGAAUUACUGAACGUAUUCAGCUCUGGGUAGAAAUAAUAAACCGUGCUUUCUUAUUUAGUCCUUGCUAUGCUGGGUAAUGUUGUACGGAAAUAGCUCUCCCAUCAUCCUUUGUCGUUAGAACGAGACGCUGAUAGGGGUUUUUGUGUUUUUGUGUGGCAGCACACAUACAUUUAUAGAUUUGAUUUUAUUUCUCCUCACUGGUUUGAUUAGCGGACUGACGACAUGGCUCGAUUUAACGACUUGAUGACGGAAACGGAACGUUCAGAGACAAAUGGACAGAGAAGUACACGUUUAUUCUCCUCACGUACAAGUUCAUAUAUACACGCUGUAUAUUUUUAAUCUAUUCUAGUCAAAAGUGUUUUAUUGUAUUCAUAGCCAGACAUGUACGAUUUAAAAGGUAAACGGUUGCCAUGUUAGUCGUAAAAGAUUCGUAGUUGUAAAAGAUCUGUAAUGUAAAAGAUCCGUAGUGUAAAAGAUGCGUAGUUGUAAAAGAUUCGUAGUUGUAAAAGAUGCGUAGUUGUAAAAGAUUCGUAGUUGUAAAAGAUGCGUAGUUGUAAAAGAUCCGUAGUUGUAAAAGAUGCGUAGUUGUAAAAGAUUCUUAGUUGUAAAAGAUGCGUAGUUGUAAAAGAUGCGUAGUUGUAAAAGAUUCGUAGUUGUAAAAGAUCCGUAGUUGUAAAAGAUUCUUAGUUGUAAAAGAUGCGUAGUUGUAAAAGAUGCGUAGUUGUAAAAGAUUCGUAGUUGUAAAAGAUGCGUAGUUGUAAAAGAUCCGUAGUUGUAAAAGAUUCGUAGUUGUAAAAGAUUCGUAGUUAUAAAAGAUGCGUAGUUGUAAAAGAUCCGUAGUGUAAAAGGUACGUAGUUGUAAAAGAUUCGUAUUUGUAAAAGAAUCGCAGUUGUAAAAGAUUUGUUGUUGUAAAAGAUUCCUAGUUGUAAAAGAUUUGUAGUUGUAAAAGAUUAGUUUUGUGUAGCUUACAUUUUAUGUAACCGCAUGUCACAAACUGGGAUUGUUUUUUUUUCGCCGUUUAUCACACAAGCUAGCAUUUUAAAUUCAUAAACGUGAAUCAAAGUGGGUAAACUCAUUGCAUUUGAUAAAGAUUCAGAAUCAAAAAGGGCAAUGCUUUUAGUAUUGAGUGUUGUUUAACUUGGUUGUACAUAGAUUGCUUAAUUGCUUAACCGUGAGUCAUCUGUGCACAGGUGAAAUUUUAUGUGACACAAAUUUGGAUGAACAAAAUUGAAUUGGUUGAAUUUGAUUCAUUGAAUCGACUCGGUAAUUUUUUUUUUAAUGAUUCGCUUAGGGUGAACAGUAGCUGGUAAGUGUUUUUUCUUGAUUUUUAGUUGAAACUAGUUUUAGCAUCGGCUGUCAGAUAGAAGCUGUAACUGCGUUCCUUGUUGCUACGAGUUGUUUACACGUUGCUAGAUUAGAGCUAAUUCACACGAUUACACUUUGUUUUGCUAAUUAAAGAGGCAUGCUCAGGUGUGAAGCACCCCCACUACAGUACUUGAGAACUAGGAAACGCUGAGGCGGAAACGUCAGCCCUCACAUGAAGCCUUCUUCGUGUGAAGCCCGAGCUCGUGUAAAGACCUGCGAGUCUACCUGCACGAGUCCACCGUAAAGACACCACUCACGCUGCUAAGUAUCACUUUCUCCCUCUCUCCACCUUGUCCUCC
ensembl:lncRNA